AUGAUGCACGCCGCCUGAGGUGACCAUCGGCGCGAGCCGCUGGUUGAAACGGGAAUCCGGUGACGCCUGUCCAUUUCGCGUAUCCAUGCGCAUGGACGGCCAUUCCGGAGCUGCCCCCGCAACGGUAGGCGAGCAACGAUCCGCGGAUGCCACUGGGCGCGAGCCCGGGAAGGCGCGGAUCGAUGGAGGUGACGAACCUUCGCUCGCAAGCCCGGAGACCGGCCACGGGUAUCCCCGGACA
rnacentral:ncRNA from 2 species